rnacentral:rRNA from 1 species
AGAAUGAACGCUGGCGGCGUGCUUUACACAUGCAAGUUGAGCGAGGCCACCCGCAAGGGUGAGUCGAGCGGCGAACGGGUGAGUAACGCGUGGAUAACCUGCCCUUUAGUGGGGAAUAACCCGGGGAAACUCGGGCUAAUACCGCAUGAGACCGAGAGGUGAAAGCGGGGUCGCAAGAUCUCGUGCUAAUGGAGGGGUCCGCGUUCGAUUAGCUAGUUGGUAGGGUAAUGGCCUACCAAGGCGACGAUCGAUAGCCGGCCUGAGAGGGUGAUCGGCCACACUGGAACUGAGACACGGUCCAGACUCCGUACGGGAGCAGCGAGUGGGAAUUUGCGCAAGUGGCUAACGCCUGACGCAGCCAACGCCGCGUGGAGGACUGUAAGUCGUUUGGAUUACGUAAACUCUGUCAG